UCUAAACUGCCUUUCUUCUUCUAAAGACUCUAAAUAGCUAAAGUACUCUUGUUCUUUACCCUAUUUGCAAAUGUGUGGAAAAUAUAUCUACAUCAUAACAAGAUGAACUAAGCAUGGGAGCAGAGGACUUAAUUUUUCCUCAUCUAUCACACAAAUACCUUAAGAAAACAGCAAGGAAGCUUCAAAUGCCCAGAUUCAGCUCUGCAUCAUGCACUUUAAUCAAGUCGUUUAUGUGACUCUAUAGAGAUGAGAACAUGCUGUCCUCCUCACGGCUUGCUUGUUUACGCAAAGAGAGUUAUGAGAAUAAUUUUGGUAGAAAACAGUUUAUGACUGGUUGGAUGAAGCACUGCCAGAGCUGGUGUUUGCAGUCCCUUUCCCUCAGCUGAGCUAGCUGGGAAGGAGCAACUCAUUCCAUUGUGAAGAUAUGCAGCCUCCAAAGCAAAGCACAGGCAAGGCCUGACUGCUCAGAGAUGGACUGUGAAGGAAUUGAAUCUUCUGAGCAUUGCACUGAGUGUCUUCCAGAGGUGGGUGGGAAGCAAAGCCACCAAAGAGGCACUGCAGGAAAGAGAAGAGGAGGCAGGAUAAGCAGACAGCACAUCCCCACAAGAAGCUAAGGUGCUAUGCUAUCACUACAGGACCAUUCUGGAAGCACAGAAGGAGCCUUCUCAGAAGCUUUAACUGAUACAGGAUAUGGCUGCUUACUUUAUUACAGGGCAGAGAAGAAUAAAUUAAAAAGGACAAAUUGCAUGUGUUCUUCACACUUUGCAUGAGCUGCCAAAAGCAUGCUGGCCUGAGUACAUUGAUGCCUGGCUUUCUUCAAGAAAAGCGAAUUAGGGACAUUUUCACUAAUUUGAGAAAAGUAACUCUGUAAGCAAAGCACUGCACCUCUUGAUACAGCUCACCCCUGUGUCCUAUAAAACUAGGGAACUUGGAGAACCAGAAACUCUG